CGUAGUUGGAUUUCUGGUACAAUGCGCCUGGCCCGCGGCAGUAAUGCUCGUGAGUGCCGGAGCGCGUUGACCAUCCUUCUAGAAAACGUUUCUACCCUUUACUGGGCCGGACUCGCGAUCUAGAUCUUUUACUUUGAAAAAAUUAGAGUGUUCAAAGCAGGCUUUUGCUGUGAAUACAUUAGCAUGGAAUAAUAAUCUAGGACUUCGGUUCUAUUUUGUUGGUUUCUAGAAUUGAAGUAAUGA
rnacentral:rRNA from 1 species